GAUGAAAGCUAGCUACAGGCUUAACACAUGCAAGCCGAGGGGUAACGAGAGGAAAGCUUGCUUUCCUUGUCGACGACCGGCGCACGGGUGAGUAACGCGUAUCCAACCUCCCCCCAACUAGGGAAUAACAUUGCGAAGGUAAGACUAAUACCCUAUAAUUUCCUCAGAUGUCAUCUGGCGAGGAAUAUGGAGUUAACGGUUGCGGAUGGGGAUGCUUCUGAUUAGCUUGUUGGCGGGGUAACGGCCCACCAAAGCAACGAUCAGUAGGGGUUCUGAGAGGAAGGUCCCCCACAUUGGAACUGAGACACGGUCUAAACUCCUACGGGAGCAGCAGUGAGGAAUAUUGGUCAAUGGGCGGAAGCCUGAACCAGCCAAGUAGCGUGCAGGAUGACGGCCCUAUGGGUUGUAAACUGCUUUUAUACAGGAAUAAAGUUAGCCACGUGUGGUUAUUUGUAGGUACUGUAUGAAUAAGGACCGGCUAAUUCCGUGCCAGCCGCCGCAGUAA
rnacentral:rRNA from 1 species